GUGGGGAUUUGAGCCGUGUCUCCCGGCCGACUUGGGUGUCCCGGUUGGUGUGUGUCGGGACUGGGAGGGGCUUGGUGCGGGCGGGAACCGCCGGGUAGCGACCACGUCUCGUCAGGGGGUUCGUGCCUGCUGCUGGGCACGGGAACGGCUCGGGGGGGUCUUACGGGCGCUGAGGGGAUUCCGCAUCAUGGAGAGGUCAAGGGGAGUUGGUGGCCGUCACCCUUCAUCAGGGCAGGGUAGCAUCAGUGCGCCCGUGCUGGGGUUCCUGGAGAGCCGGCUGGCACGGACAGACUCUUGUGAGGCAAGUGGCUGAUCGUGCGUCGGAUGGGUCCAGCAAAGGAGAGAAAGCUUCGCGGCGCGCGGCGCUCGCCAGGGAAAGGGUGACAGCGGGUGGGACCCAGAGGGAGAGAACAAAGGAAGAGAGAGGGUUUCCGCAGGGGUGGUGAGUCCUGGCGGAAGUCCUGAGGCAGAGGAGGUGCCAGGGGUUUGGGUUUCCCGGUCGUGUCGGGGUGUGGCGCAGGUUGCCCCAGUGGGCCUGAAUGUGCCUCCGUGGGGCACCUUGUUGCCGUGUUGGGGGGCGGGGAGCCGGCCUUGGGGAUCCAUCUUUCGGGCCCUGGGACGUGGGAGAAUGCCGGGGCCUCUCUCUGUGCCCCUGGCACGCCUCUGUGCAGGCCGGGCCUGCACCACCCCCCGCCCGCCCCCAGGCAGGGUCCGUGUGGCUGCAGACACCCAGAGCGAGGGAGGCUGGGGAGGCUGGGAGCGUGGCAGCCCGAUGCAGUGCGGGUCUCCAGGUGGAGGGGCCCUGGUCCCCUGGCGCCAGCGUGGCCUUCCUCCUUGUGGAAACCCUUUGUGGUGUGUGUGCUCUCUCGCCCUGACCCAGGAGAGCAGCAUGGCGGACCCCUGAUCUUGUGGCGUGCCACCGCGCGAGGCCGAGGGAGCUCCGCAGCCCAGUGCGCGUGGCGUCCUUGUCGCGGCUCUGUGGAGACCUGGCGAUGGAGAGCAGCAUGGCGGACCCCUGAUCUUGUGGCGUGCCACCGCGCGAGGCCGAGGAGCUCCCGCAGCCCAGUGCGCGUGGCGUCCUUGUCGCGGCUCUGUGGAGACCUGGCGAUGGUGAGCGGCCCCUGUCCUCAGUGGUGGAGAACUCGCCCUUGGGGCGCUCGUCUGUCCGGAGCCCCGGGCCAGCCCCGCUUCUCGCGGGCUUUGGCCCCGGCAGGCCAGCUCCGGGGGCGUGAGGGGGAGCGUCCCGUCCUGCCCAGUGGCUCGUCUGUCUGGGCACGCCCCCAAACGCUGCCGUGAUGGAGCGGGUGGGAUGUCCAGGUGCGGAGGCCGUGAAUUUGCCUUGCGGCGGCGGAGCCCGUGCUCGGAUCGAUGAUGACUCCCUCUAAAGCAUUCCUUGGAAAUCUGAACAAAAUGAGUGAGAACUCACUACCGUCUCCUCAUCGAAACUGAGGUCCGGCACGUGGCGGCCACCGGGGGCUCGGGGGUAGAUGGGCCCUUGGCCUUGGGGCCUCUGGGUGUCAGCAGCCACUCGGGUGAGGUCUGGGG
rnacentral:lncRNA from 1 species